CCUACGGGCGGCAGCAGUGGGGAAUCUUCCGCAAUGGGCGAAAGCCUGACGGAGCAACGCCGCGUGAUCGAAUGAAGGCCUUCGGGUUGUAAAGAUCUGUUGACAGGGACGAAUAAGCAAUGCGAAUAGUUUUGUGUAUGUAGGUACCUGUUUAGAAAGCUCCGGCUAACUACGUGCCAGCAGCCGCGGUAAUACGUAGGGAGCAAGCGUUGUCCGGAAUUACUUGGCGUAAAGGGCGCGUAGGUGGGCGCUUAAGUCAGGUGAGAAAACGCCGGGCUCAACCUGGAGACUGCACUUGAAACUGGGUGUCUUGAGGGCAGGAGAGGAAAGUGGAAUUCCUAGUGUAGCGGUGAAAUGCGUAGAUAUUAGGAGGAACACCAGUGGCGAAGGCGACUUUCUGGACUGUACCUGACGCUGAGGCGCGAAAGCGUGGGUAGCGAACGGGAUUAGAUACCCUGGUAGUC
rnacentral:rRNA from 1 species